UACGGAGGGUGCGAGCGUUGUCCGGAAUCAUUGGGCGUAAAGAGCGUGUAGGCGGCCCGAUAAGUCCGCUGUGAAAGUCCAGGGCUCAACCCUGGAAUGCCGGUGGAUACUGUCGGGCUCGAGUUCGGAAGAGGUGAGUGGAAUUCCUGGUGUAGCGGUGAAAUGCGCAGAUAUCGUAAGGAAGACCAGUGGCGAAGGCGAAUCUCUGGACAGUUACUGACACUGAGGCACGAAGGCCAGGGGAGCAAACGGG
rnacentral:rRNA from 1 species